AGGAGCGGAAUGACGAGAAAUUGUCACGUUCCGUUUUGUAGAGCAGUAGGAGAGGCGACUCUCUUACUGACUUUAAU
rnacentral:ncRNA from 1 species